rnacentral:rRNA from 1 species
AUUGAACGCUGGCGGCAGGCCUAACACAUGCAAGUCGAGCGGUUGAGGUAGCUUGCUACCGAUACAGCGGCGGACGGGUGAGUAAUACAUGGGAAUCUGCCUGGUAGUGGGGGACAACGUUUCGAAAGGAACGCUAAUACCGCAUACGCCCUACGGGGGAAAGGGGGGGAUCUUCGGACCUCUCGCUAUCAGAUGAGCCCAUGUCAGAUUAGCUUGUUGGUGAGGGAAAGGCUCACCAAGGCGACGAUCUGUAACUGGUCUGAGAGGAUGAUCAGUGCCACUGGAAAUGGGACACGGGCCAGACGCCGACGGGGGGAGGCAGUGGGGAAUAUUGGGCAAUGGGCGCAAGCCUGAUCCGGCCAUGCCGCGUGUGGGAAGAAGGCCUUAGGGUUGUAAAGCACUUUCAGUGGAGAAAUGCCCUUUACUUAAUACGUAAGAGGAUUGAUGUUACCCACAGAAGAAGCACCGGCUAACUCCGUGCCAGCAGCCGCGGUAA